AAGACUAUACUUUCAGGGAUCAUUUCUAUAGUUUGUUACUAGAAAAAUGAACAUUCUGAGGUCCACUACAGACCUCCUAAUUAAAAUCUCUUAGACUAAAUUAGGAAUUUUUUUUUAAUCCUACAGAGUUGUCACUCCUGGUGGCCUUUGUUUUCCAUUUUAUUGGGAGAGAAAUUGAAAGAGAAGGGAGAGGGAG
rnacentral:snoRNA from 1 species